AUGAAGCCACGCGUGACGUCAUCACGCACUUACGCACGCACUAGCCGCCAGGAGACGCUGUUCAGUUUACGGGUCCUGACGCCCGCUAGCCCACCAGGCCAGCAGGGGAGCUGGAGACCGGCAGCCUGGACAAACGACCGGAAGGAGGAAAAGGAACCGGAGGGAGGAAAAAGAAGAGGGGCGGGACAAGGCCAUCAGGCAGGAGUUUUAAGCUCAGAGCUGCGACACCAGCAGUCCGGGCUCAGGUCCCGCAGCGCCGCCGUGCUGUGCUCCUCUGUCCCUCCGCUUACCCAGUCCCCCACGUUGACUUCAUCACCGAGUUCCAGUGAGAUGCACCUACUUCUCUUUGGGGAAACGUGAGGAAGCAGGAAUGCUGGAGAUGAGGCCCGGCACAUCCUGCCCACGCGGCGCAGUGCUGCAGCUUCCCUCUGGUCACGGGUCUGGCCGUCGACUCGCCAAUUCCUCCAGCUUCCAUGGGACUCUCCGGGUGUUAGCACUGCAAGUUCCUCAGCAAACUGGGACUGUCGGUCGCCUACCUGGCAGCCAGUGAUAAGGUGAGGGCCACCCCUGGGAGGGCGGACACCUGUGGGGAACAUUCUUGUGUGAUUUAUUUCUCCUUUGGGGUAGGGUGCCUGCACUGGCUCUUGCUGGGUUGAUGCUGCAGACUCAGAAGUUUCAAGGGCAUCUGGGGAGAUUAGAUAUUCAGAGACCUUCUCCUAGAUGUCCCUGUUCCAUGUAUCAGGGACGCAGCUUUCCCCAACAGGGCCUGUGUCGUUGGCAUGACAGACCUGCCUUGGUUGAACGUUCAGCUGUCUUUGGAGUUCAGCCACCUUAGCAAGUCCUGGGUUUGUUCUUCAGAGUUUGCUGCUCGCCCAUUGCCUGGAUCGGGGGCUACUUUGUAAACCACCAGGAAGACUCCAGUGCUUCUGCUUAACUUUUAGACAUUUGUUAAUUGCCCUUGGCCUCUCAUUAAUCCCGUGUGGGUCAUCCAGGCAACGUAGUCACCACCAUCCACUCCCUGAGUUUCCGUUUCAAGACGUCCGCCCUGCCUGGGUCUCCUCACCUGCCAGGAACUUCCUCUCCAAGGGCUGCCCAUCCCAUCAAAAGUUCUAACACCAAAGAUCUAGCAACUAGGCUGCCAUUUUGUGCCUGUAGCCACCUUUGUGCCACCUAUGCCCGAAGAUGGGAACCUCGUUGCCAGCUGGGCAGUUGCAGGGUGAUCCUGUACCAGGGCUCCAUCUUACGACUUGCUGUCUUGGACCACUCUGGAACCCACUGUCUCAGGUUGGGUCCUCCAGGAAGCAGACCGUGAGAGGGAGUUGGCAGUGCCAGAGGUUUACCAGGGCUAACUUGCACUCAGGAAAGGGACGGGAAGGAAGCAGGGGUGGAGAGCAGGUUGGGCCAGACCUGACAGUCUCGAGCAGCCCAACAGGGAGGCCUGGACCAAGGGUUGCUCAUUAGAAGGGCCUGCAUUGGGCAUGGGUGGUUAGGUCACAUGGUACCUGGCACACAGCAGGCCGUGCACUCCAACUUAACUGACUGGAUGAAUUAAUGCCAAGGAAAGGCGCUCUGGAGAGCGGGUAUGUGCUGAGCAGCACAGGGAAGGGCCCAGCAUCUGUCUUUGCACAGCCAGAACUGCGCUGUGCCCUGCAACAGGCCACGCGAGAGCUGCUUUGAGCUUGCAUGUGCAUUAGACAACUCUCAGAGGCACGAAGGUUUGCUGGCAGGGCGCCUCGUGACCUGUCGGUAUUGGUGUGAGCACAGCCUAUUGGUGUGAGCACAGCCUGGCAGGAGAGGGCAGAUCUCGGCACAAAGUAUCAUGUCAAAAAGCAGAUCGAAGCCCGGCCCCCUCCUAUAAAAGGCUCCUUGAGGGUAGGUGCACACUCAUGCCUUUGCUACUUGUAAGGCAUGAAGGAAUUAGGUGAAUGGGAAGAGGGAGGGACUGCUCACUCUGGGCAAGGGUCUAGGGGAGGCUUCUCAGAGGAGGGGGUGUUUGAAGGUCGAAAGGGUUUUGUUAGGUAGAAAAUGGGGGAGGGACAGCCUAUAAGAGUUAGGUACAUUCAAGGAGCCCAGAGAAGGUUUGUGGCUGGACCAGACCCAUUUGUAGAGUGAAGUCGUGGGAGAAGAGGCUGGGAAACUAGGUUGGGUCCAACUCCUAAAGGCCCACUGAAGGAGUGUGGGCUGCACGCUGGGUGCAGCAGGUGAGUGUCCUUACUUGCGUUGCACCGUCGGCCUUUUUAAAAGGCAAACCAUGGUUCUCUUACAGAAAAGAAUUCAUUGAUUCACUCAUGAUGCCAGCAAGUCAUCUGACAAACCUUCGUGUACUUCUGAUGGGGCAGGAGUGUUUGUAGACAGCAGGCACACAAAUAUAAGAUUCAGCCCAGUGCAGCUCCAGGAGCAGCCUUCUACAGAUCAGUGUCUGGUUCCUCCAGCAUGCUCCUUCCCUGCUGAUCUGAACAUUUGGGUAGUAACCUUAAGCAGUCUCCUGACUUGUCUCAGUCUCCUGACUUGUGAUAAUGUUUCCAAUUCUUGUUCCUUACUGUAGAAUGAAGUUUGGAGAGAUGUCAUUAGGUCUCUAGGUUCUGAGGAUUACUGUGAGGUAGGCAGAGGGAGUGAAGCGUGUUGGGGCCAGAUAUUCCCGUGCUUCUACCAGAAAGUUGAUUUGCCCAGUGUACCACCCUCACUUGGUGGGCAUGAGCAGAAUGGUCUGCCACUGACAACCCACAGAAAGAAGGUAGAGCACAGGCUUGCCCUGGUGGGCUCUUGGAUGCCCUGAGCUGCAGCAGCAUCCAGGGCCAGGUGGUACUUAGUAGGGCCGGCCUCUCACCCACUGUGUCUGAUCAUACUGCCUUUGAAAGAGGAGGGUGGGUGAUGAAGACAAGAUGAUGAGAUAGGGUGGCCUCAUACCCAACUGGAACAUUUGCAAAUGAUACAUGGUGAAAGUUUAGGAAAGAGGCCACUUCGUUUAUGAAAUGACACUAGCUAAUGUUUGACCUUAGUCAUAUGUUGCUUGAUUCCUCAUUUUGCCAUCUGCUGGCUGACCCAUACAAGUUCACUUUUAAUUAAAGGUGGGCUGUGAUCAGAGUCAUGAUCUGUGAGUGGCUUCCAUGGCAGAAAGUUCUGUGCAGUUCUUGGGGGAUGUAAGUAGGAGGUGCUAAAACUAAUAUGUCCAUAUGUUAGAAACUAUUUCCUCUCUUCUUUCCCUCCUCUAACCAUUCCUGCCUUCUUCAUCUUUCUAACUUUCCCAAGGCAUUUUACAUCAGAUUUCCGAUAUAGAACAAUGGAUGUUAAAACAAACCCAAAUUCCUAAUGCUUGUUAUCGUGAAAACGUGGCAACACAGUUCACAUUUUCUUUUGAAAUGGCCUAUACGGGUCAGCACAGGCAUUAACAUAGGAGCUCAUUGUUUGCAUCCUCUGGGUCCUUGUAGUUCAUAUGCUGGGCCAAUGUAUAGAGGCAUACAGAAGGGCUGAGAAUGUGGCCAUGAGGUAUGUAACAACAAGGCCCAAAGCCUGGGCUUUGGUGUCUAGCAGACCUGGGUUUGAAUGUUUGUCUUCCUGUGUGACCUUGUCAGCUACUCGUCUCUCUGUGUCUCCCUCUCCUCUCCUGUAAACCAGGAGGCACAAAUGCCACUCAUGUCACAGGGCUGUUGCUGGCACACACCCUUGCACCUUGUGUUCUCUUUCUGGGAUUCAGAUUCUCAAUAGUUGCUUCUACAUUUACAGGUUGGAGAUUAUUCCAGAAACACAGAUGAAAGUUUUUUUUUUGGGGGGUGGUGUUUCUCAGCUUUGAAAAUUUCAGAGAUUUCCAGCAGUGUUCAAGGGACUGUGAUAUGAUCUUGGCAAAAUCUCAUAUACUCUUUGAAGGAUCUCAGUUAUGCUACCUUGAAAAUGAAUUGGUUAGUCUGGAACAUGGUUUGCGAGCCUAUGUGGACAGAGAAUGUCAUUUUGGAGAGAUACUUUCACAGGAUGUAAGAGUAUGAGUUGAAAGUUGGGUUUUUUUUUUUUUUUUUGAGACAGAGUCUCUCACUCUGUGGCCCAGGCUUGAGUUCAGUAGGACAAUCUCGGCUUACUGCAAUCUUCACCUGGUUUCAAGCAUUUCUCCUGCCUCAGCCUCCCAAGUAGCUAGGUUUACAGAUGCGUGCCACCAUACACAGCUAAUUUUUGUGUUUUUAGUGGAGAUGGGUUUUCACCAUGUUGGGCAGGCUGCUCUUGAAUUCCUAACCUCAGGCGAUCUGCCCCCCUCAGCCUCCCAAAGUGCUGGGAUUACAGGUAUGAGCCACCACACCCAGCUGAAAGCUAUUUUCUUCAAGCCCUUGAAAACAGUUGUGCCGCUUCCUUUUGGUAUCCAUUGUUUCUGAUGAGUAAUCCCCUUUUUUGAAUCAUUUUGUCCGUAUAGGUAAGGUGUCAUUUCUCUCUCAUUGCUUCCAAGAUUUAUUAUUAUUAUUAUUAUUGUCCUUAUGCUUUUAAAGUCAAGAUCUCACUUCAUUGCUCAGGCUACGGAGCAGUGUUGCAAUUAUAGCUCACUAUAACCUUGAACUUCUGGGCUCAAGGAAUCCCCCUGCCUCAGUCUCCCAGGUAGCUAGGACUACAGGUAUGAGCUGCCAUGCCUAGCUAUUUUUGUUUGUUUGUUUUUAUUUAAUAGUUCUCAAAACUUUAACUCAAAUGUUUUAAUGUAGAUUUCUUUGGAUUUAUUCUGUUUGGGGUUUGCUCAGCUUCCGAAGUCUGUAGGCUAUGUCUUUUGUUAAAUUUGGGAAAUUUUCAGGCAUUAUUUCUUUGAAUGAUUUUUCAGUCUCAUGCUUUUUUUCAUCUCCCCUGGAACCCUUAUGACACAGAUGUGAGAUCUUUGUUCAUAGUCCCACAGGUCCCCAAAUCUCAGUCCAUUUUGUUUUCCCGUGUAUUUUCUAUUUGUUUUUCAGACUGGGAAAUUUCUGUUCUGCCUUCAGGUUGACUGGUUCUUUACUCUGUUCUGUCUAUUCUGGCAGUGAUUCCUUUAUAGCAUUUUAAAAAUUUUAGUUACGGUAUUUUUCAGUUCCAGAAUUUCCAUUUGGUUCUUCAUUAUAUCUUCUAUUUUUUCUUUUUUGGCUGAGACUAUUUUUAAUUUGUUUCAAAUGUCUUCUUCAUUGCUCAAUGAAGCAUUUAUAUAAUGGUUGUUUUCAAUUUGUUUUGCAGAUAAAUCUGACAUGUUUGUCAUCAGUGUUGAUAUCUAUUGAUUGUGUGGUGUUAUUCCAUUUGAGAUCUUCCUGGUUCUGGGUAUGAUGUGUGACUUUAGAUUAAAAUCUCGACAUUUUCAUUUUAUA